AGGAUAAACGCUGGCGGCGUGCCUAACACAUGCAAGUCGAACGCGCUUUCGGGCUUCGGUGCGAGAGCGAGUGGCGGACGGGUGAGUAACACAUGGGUACCUACCUUGGAGUGAGGGAUACCGGCGAGAAAUCGCCGACAAUACCGCAUAGGCUUCUUCACAAGGGAAGCAAAGUGACGCGAGUCACGCUGUGAGAUGGGCCUGUGGCCGAUUAGCUAGUUGGGGGGGUAACGGCUUCCCAAGGCGACGAUCGGUAGCUGGUCUGAGAGGACGAUCAGCCACACUGGGAUUGAGAACGGCCCAGACUCCUACGGGGGGCAGCAGUGAGGAAUUUUCCGCAAUGGAGGCAACUCUGACGGAGCAACGCCGCGUGCAGGAGGAAGGUUUUCGGAUCGUAAACUGCUUUUCUCGGGGACGAGCAAGGAUGGUACCCGAGGAAGAAGCCCCGGCUAACUACGCGCCAGCAGCCGC
rnacentral:rRNA from 1 species